AGCCCUCUUGUUUGCAUAUCGAGAAGCAAAACUGAAGCAGCGGUCAUGUUUCCCUCCUUUUCAUAAGCUCUAAUCAGUAGAUUAAAAAAGCCAAAUCAGGACAUAUUCUACUUCUCAACAUUUCAUCGAAAACUUGUAAGCCUCGACCAUCAAACCCUUGCUAACUAACCCGUAAAUCAAUGUUGUGUAGGUUAACAAAUCGAGCUCGAGACCCUCUUGAACCAUUUUGGUUUUUAACUUAAACGCAUCCACCAAGUUCCCUUGCUUACAGAUGCCCUUUACUAUAUUCGCCCAUAUUUGAGGAUAGAACAGCUGCUGAUGCUCAUAGCUCAAAUCAUAAGUAAGUUCAAGAACAGCUCACUUCAUUGUCACAUUGUUUGCUGCAAUCUCCAUCACUUACUGCUGUUGCAAGCCCUCUUGUUUGCAUAUCGAGAAGCAAAUCCGAAGCAGCAGUCAUGUUUCCCUCCUUUUUAUAAGCUCUAAUCAGUAGAUCAAAAACAGCCAAAUCAGGACAUAUUCCACUUCUCAACAUUUCAUCAAAAACUUGUCUAGCCUCGACCAUCAAACCCUUGCUAGCUAACCCAUAAAUCAAUGUUGUGUAGGUUAACAAAUCGAGCUCGAGACCCUCUUGAACCAUUUUGGUUUUUAACUUAAACGCAUCCACCA
rnacentral:lncRNA from 1 species